ACCUUGGAACUGNCUUUGAAACUCCUGAUCUUGAGUUCCAGAGAGGUGAGUGGAAUUCCCGAGUGUAGAGGUGAAAUNGGGNGAGNNAUUGNGAGGAACACCAGUGGCNAAGGCGGCUCNCUGGCUCGAUACUGACCNCUGAGGUGCGAAAGCCGUGGGGAGCAAACAGGAUUAGAUACCCCUGGUAGUCCACNCCGUAAACGAUGAAUGNCCAGUCGUCGGGUAGCAUGGCUAUUCGGUGACACACCUAACGGAUUAAGCAUUCCCGCCUGGGGAGUACGGCCCGCAAGGUUAAAANUGCAAGGAAUUGACGGGGGNCCCGCACAAGNCGGUGGAGCAUGUGGUUUAAUUCGAAGCAACGCGCAGAACCUUACCAACCCUUGACAUGGGUAUCCNCGGGACCAGAGAUGGUCCUUUCAGUUCGGCUGGAUACCACACAGGUGCUGCAUGGUUGUCGUCAGCUCGUGUCGUGAGAUGUUCGGUUAAGUCCGGCAACGAGCGCAAACCACACUUUCAGUUGCCCAUUCAUUCAGUUGGGCCACUCUGGAAGAACUGCCCGGUGAUAAGCCGGANGAAGGUGUGGAUGACNUCAAGUCCUCAUGGNCCUUACGGUUGGGCUACACACNUGCUACAUGGUGGUGACAUGGGUUAAUCCCCAAAGC
rnacentral:rRNA from 1 species